UACGUAGGGGGCAAGCGUUGUCCGGAUUUAUUGGGCGUAAAGAGCGUGUAGGCGGCCAAGCAGGUCCGCUGUGAAAACUCGAGGCUCAACCUCGAGACGCCGAUGGAAACCAUCGAACUAGAGUCCGGAAGAGGAGAGUGGAAUUCCUGGUGUAGCGGUGAAAUGCGCAGAUAUCAGGAAGAACACCCGUGGCUAAGGCGGCUCUCUAGUACGGUACUGACGCUGAGACGCGAAAGCGUGGGGAGCGAACAGG
rnacentral:rRNA from 1 species